GCUGGGGUAGCUCUGUUGGUAGAGCAUGUGGCUUUUAAUCUCAAGGUGAUGGGUUCAAGCCCCAUGUUGGGCA